GCGGGCGGCAUGCGGGGGAGCCGCAGCCGGGGCUGGAGCCGGAGCCGGAGCGAGCCCGCCCCGGGGGGAGGAGGGCGAGGGCGGCGAGCCAUGACGGGCGGCGGCGCGGCGGAGCGCCCGCGGUGGUAGAGGGCGAGCGCGGGGCGCGGAGCCCGGAGCGCGCCCGGCGCGGGGCGCGGAGCAGCGCGGAGCGGCCGCCAUGGGCAACGCGGGGAGCGUGGACGCGCAGCAGACGGAGCUGAGGGCGCACAGCGUCCCCCUGAAGCUGCCCAUGCCCGAGCCCGGCGAGCUGGAGGAGCGCUUCGCCGUGGUGCUGAAUGCCAUGAACCUGCCUCCCGACAAAGCGCGGCUCCUGCGGCAGUACGACAACGAGAAGAAGUGGGAGCUCAUCUGUGACCAGGAAAGAUUCCAAGUGAAGAAUCCUCCGCACACUUACAUCCAGAAGCUGAAGGGGUAUCUGGACCCAGCAGUGACCAGGAAGAAAUUCAGGAGACGAGUCCAGGAGUCGACUCAGGUGCUCCGAGAACUGGAAAUUUCCUUGAGGACAAACCACAUUGGGUGGGUCAGGGAGUUCCUGAAUGAAGAGAACAAAGGCCUGGAUGUCCUGGUGGAAUACCUGUCCUUUGCCCAGUAUGCAGUCACGUUUGACUUUGAGAGCCUGGAGAACAGCGUGGAGAGCUCCAUGGACAAGUCCAAGCCCUGGAGCCGAUCCAUCGAGGACCUGCACAGGGGCAGCAAUCUGCCCUCUCCCGUGGGGAACAGCGUCUCCCGCUCCGGCAGACACUCCACGCUCCGGUACAACACCUUGCCAAGCCGAAGAACCCUCAAAAAUUCCCGAUUAGUGAGUAAAAAGGAUGAUGUCCACGUGUGCAUCAUGUGUUUACGGGCCAUCAUGAACUACCAGUAUGGAUUCAACAUGGUCAUGUCCCACCCUCACGCCGUCAAUGAGAUUGCACUGAGCCUGAACAACAAGAACCCCAGGACAAAGGCCCUGGUCCUGGAACUCCUGGCAGCCGUUUGCCUCGUCCGAGGGGGCCACGAGAUCAUCCUGGCUGCAUUUGAUAACUUCAAGGAGGUGUGUGGGGAGAAGCAGCGCUUCGAGAAGCUCAUGGAGCACUUCAGGAACGAAGACAACAACAUCGACUUCAUGGUGGCCUGCAUGCAGUUCAUCAACAUCGUGGUGCACUCCGUGGAGGACAUGAACUUCCGAGUGCACCUCCAGUACGAGUUCACCAAGCUGGGCCUGGACGAGUACCUGGAUAAGCUGAAGCACACGGAGAGUGACAAGCUGCAGGUGCAGAUCCAGGCCUACCUGGACAACGUGUUCGACGUGGGGGCCCUGCUGGAGGAUGCAGAGACCAAGAACGCAGCCCUGGAGAGGGUGGAGGAGCUGGAGGAGAACCUUUCCCACUUAUCUGAAAAACUCCAGGAUACGGAGAACGAAGCCAUGGCCAAGAUUGUGGAACUGGAAAAGCAACUCAUGCAAAGGAACAAAGAACUGGAUGUGAUCCGGGAGAUCUACAAGGACGCAAACAGCCAGGUGCACACCCUGAGGAAGAUGGUGAAGGAGAAGGAGGAAGCCAUCCAGCGCCAAUCCACACUGGAGAAGAAGAUCCACGAGCUGGAGAAGCAGGGAACCAUCAAGAUCCAGAAGAAAGGGGAUGGGGACAUCUCCAUCCUCCCGGUGGCCCUGGGCUCCGGGAUGGUGCCAGCAGGGGCCGAGGCGGUGCCAGGGACCUGUGGCACACCCGGAGCUGCCCCCUCAGUGCCACUGCCCCCACCCCCGCCCCCCCUGCCCGCCCUGCCGGGCUCGCCCGAGGCAGUGCCCAACGGCCCCGUGGCAGCGCCUGCGCCACCUCCUCCUCCUCCUCCUCCUCCUCCUCCUCCUCCUCCUCUCCCGGGCCCGGCUCCGGACGCGGCCCCGGCGGCUCCGCUGCCCCCUCCGCCGCCGCCCUCGGCUCCCCCCCUGCCCGGCACGGCCUCGCCCACCGUGGUCUUCAACUCGGGGCUGGCAGCUGUGAAGAUCAAGAAGCCCAUCAAGACCAAGUUCCGCAUGCCCGUGUUCAACUGGGUGGCCCUGAAGCCCAACCAGAUCAACGGCACCGUCUUCAACGAGAUCGACGACGAGCGCAUCCUCGAGGAUCUGAACGUGGAUGAAUUUGAGGAAAUAUUCAAAACGAAAGCGCAGGGCCCCGCCAUGGACCUGAGCUCCAGCAAGCAGAAGAUCCCUCAGAAGGGAUCCAGCAAGGUCACGCUGCUGGACGCCAACAGGGCCAAGAACUUGGCCAUCACCCUGAGGAAGGCCGGGAAAACGGCGGACGAGAUCUGCAAAGCCAUCCACGUGUUUGACCUGAAGACGCUGCCGGUGGAUUUCGUGGAGUGCCUGAUGCGGUUCCUGCCCACGGAGAACGAGGUGAAGGUGCUGAGGCUCUACGAGAGGGAGAGGAAGCCCCUGGAGAACCUCUCGGACGAGGACAGGUUCAUGAUGCAGUUCAGCAAGAUCGAGAGGCUGAUGCAGAAGAUGACCAUCAUGGCCUUCAUCGGCAACUUCGCCGAGAGCAUCCAGAUGCUCACCCCGCAACUCCACGCCAUAAUCGCUGCCUCUGUCUCCAUAAAGUCAUCCCAAAAACUUAAGAAAAUCCUGGAGAUCAUCCUGGCUCUUGGAAAUUACAUGAACAGCAGCAAACGAGGGGCUGUGUAUGGAUUUAAGCUGCAGAGUUUAGACCUGCUCCUGGAAACGAAGUCGACGGACCGGAAGCAGACACUGCUGCACUACAUCUCCAACGUGGUGAAGGAGAAGUACCAGCACGUGGCCCUGUUCUACAACGAGCUGCACUACGUGGAGAAGGCAGCAGCAGUGUCCCUGGAGAACGUCCUGCUGGACGUGAAGGAGCUGCAGCGGGGCCUGGAGCUGACCAAGCGCGAGUACACCAUGCACGACCACAACACCAUGCUCAAGGACUUCAUCCAGAGCAACGAGGGCAAGCUCAAGAAGCUCCAGGACGAUGCCAAAAUAGCCCAGGAUGCCUUUGAUGAUGCUGUGAAGUAUUUUGGGGAGAAUCCCAAGACAACCCCACCCUCGGUCUUCUUCCCGGUGUUUGUCCGCUUUGUGAAGGCCUACAAGCAAGCAGAGGAAGAAAACGAGCUGAGGAAAAAGCAGGAACAGGCCUUAAUGGAAAAACUCAUGGAGCAAGAAGCAUUGAUGGAGCAACAGGACCAAAAGUCCCCUUCCCACAAGAGCAAGCGGCAGCAGCAGGAGCUGAUCGCGGAGCUGCGGCGCCGGCAGGUCAAGGACAACCGGCACGUGUACGAGGGCAAGGACGGCGCCAUCGAGGACAUCAUCACAGCCCUAAAGAAGAAUAAUAUCACUAAAUUUCCCAAUGUUCACUCGAGGAUCUCCGGAACCAGCCGUACCGCCGCGCCGACGCGCUGAGGAGGAGCGUGCGCCGCCGCUUCGACGAGCACGGGCUGCGCGCCGCGGGCGCCGAGCUGGCGCUGUGAGCCCGCCCGGGCCGGCGCUGUGAGCCCGCCCGGGACAGCGCUGUGAGCCCGCCCGGGACAGCGCUGUGAGCCCGCCCGGGACUGCUCCCCUCGCCGAGGGCCUCGAGGGACGCUCCUGCCCCGGAUCCACCGCCCCGGGCGGGCCGGGGCCUCCGCACGCCGAGACGCUGCAGGAUUUGUAACCAAAUGUAACAUAGGGGUGGGUUGGUGAAAGCGAGGGCUCCUGUGGGCUUGGCUGGUUGGAAACUGGGAAUACUGGGAAUACUGGGAUGUGCUUGGCUUUUAACGCUGGGCCGAGGGGGGGGGCCCAGCCUUCAGCUGCACUUAACGGCUCUUUUUUAAUUAAAACUACCGACAAAGACAUUUAAAGGGCUUUCUGGACACGGAAUUAAAAUAAUCCCAAGGAGCACCCCAGCCCCGUCCCAGCCCAGGCAGCCUCCCAGGGGAAUGUGGGGCAGUCCCGGGGCCAGGAGGGAACACGAGGUGCCCCCUCGCCAGCGCGGGGCUUUGGCUGGGGGGCCAAGGGAGGCAGCGUUGGGAUAACAGCGUAUUUAUUAAUUAGCACUAAGCAAUUAACACCCAGUAAUCAGUAUUAGGCUCUGAGGACACUGCAGUCCCGUUCCUGGCACGGGGAUUCCAGCCCUGCUCCGGCUCCCGCUCGGUCCCUGCCGAGGCUCCUCUGGAAGGGAGCCCAGCCUGGAAUUCCCGGGGGGUUUGAGGCUGUCCCCGGCAUUUCCAGGCCUGGGAAGGGGCAGCAGGGGCUGAUUCAGGCCCACGGUGCCCUCCCCGUGCCCCGGAGCAUCCAGGAGCUGGGAGGAGCUGGACUGAGGAGAAAUUCAUCCUUCCCAAAUCCCAUUUCGCUUCCAGCGUCACUGCCUGGGCUCACCCAUCUGUUCAUUGUAAAAUUUCUUGUAUAGUAUUUAACCACUGAGUUUCUUUGCCCUUUUCCAUUGUGCUCCUGUGAACCACUGGUGAAGGUCCCUGGUUUUUUUUUCCUUGGAUAAUGUGUAGUUAUAUGAUAAUCUGUUUUUAAAUGUACAGAUAUUUUGCUACAAAAUUGGUGCAGUUUUUUAUGGUUUUUACACUUUCCCCCCUCCCCCCCCCCCCACUUUAGCCUCUGGGUAAUAUUGUAAAUAUUGUUUAAAAGGAAAUAAAUGCAUCAAGCCUGUGCUAUACAAUCUGAAUGUUAUUUUAACUUAUAGUUUUUGUUUUUAUAUUUAACUAAAAGGACAGUUUGGGACUCAGAGUUACCACAUUGACCAAUUUCCAGGAAUUUCUCCUUGAAAAACUGCCAAGUUUUGCAUUUACAGCACUGUGUACUUGACCUGCUAAAGAGAACAUGCCACUGUUGGAACAGAGUUUGGAUCAAAGAAAACUGGGUGAUUUGAAUUUCAAAUUUCAGCACUUGUUGGGGUAUACGCACUAAAUCUCAUUUUCUUCAGCUCAAAGGUAUUUUUCUAAUAAAAGCCCAAAAUGAAAGCCAAGCUGGCAUGUUCUCUUUAAUAUUUUUCUAGUCAUAGAUCUGCUUCUUAGCAAGAUUAGAAGUGUUUUCUACAGCAGUUCACGUUCUUCUCCUGGUCUGUUCCUGCCAUAAAAUCAAAUAAACUAUUUACACUACUACACUGAAAUCCAGAGGGGUUUUUUGGGUCACUUUUACCUGCUUUGCUCCCCAAAAAUGGUGGUAUUGGAUAGAUGAACACCUGGAGCUUGUGUGGAUGAAGACUGAAAGAAUUUGCAGCAUCAGUUUAGUCUUUGUUAUUCUGGAGGAGGCUGAGGAAGAAAUUUGGGGUGUGGAUGUUCCUGGGAGACACCAGGAGAGAAACAAAUGGGGAUUAAUAUUUGCCAGAAAUGCACUCAAAAUAAUCCAAACAUUUAAAGCCUAAACGUGUUAAAUUUUAAUACCAAAUUUAAUUUUUAAAAGGGUUGAAUAAAAUUAUUCUGAGAGGGGCCAGGAUUAACCAGCACAGCCAAGGCUUCAACAUUGAUGGACAUAGUGAAAAAUCAUCCAGAACAAUCCAGUAAUUGGUUAAAAAGAAUCCAUUUGGCUAAAAUUCCUCCCAGUUCCCAGGUGGGAAUGCAGAAGUUGAGCUGUUGGCUGUGCUGGGGCUGCCCCACAGGAAAAAAAUGUGGCUGGGAAAUAGGAAAAAGGAGGAAAACACCCAAAAAAAUGCUGGAAAAAUAAGCCUGAACUCAAUUCCCUGGGAAACUCAAACCUGCCUUGCUUGGUUUAAAAGCAGCCUCAGCUUAAGCCAAAUUUCUUCCAGCAAAUUGAAUUAAGGUGUUAAGAAAACCCCACCUUUGGAAUAACUGACAUUCCCAGUUUUUGAUUUUUAGUGGAAAAAUAAAGGCAAACCCUUUAAGAGUGAUACUCCCUUAGGAAUUCCCUUAGGAAUAGCAUCCCUUAGGACAGUAACUUUUUCCUUGGAUAGUUUCCUUGGACAGUUUGUGUGGAUGCAGGGCAAUGAGAGCCUUGGAAGUUGUUCCUCCCUGUUUCAAACCCUCAGGACCUGCCACUCUCCAAAUGCUCCUCCCAGCUCCGUGCAGGUUCCAGGACUGCUGCCCUCAUUCCCCAGACUCUGCUGGGCUGCUCCCCUUGGAGCAUUCCCGUCUGGGAUGUGAAUCCAGGGAAUUGGGAUUUACAGACCUGGCUGAUCCCCAGCCCUGGAGCAGCAGGGAUCCCCUCCUUGGGAGAGCCACUGCUGCAGGAAAAUCCUGCAAUUUCCUCCCUGCCACU